UACAGAGGUCCCAAGCGUUGUUCGGAAUUACUGGGCUUGAAGCGCACGUAGGCGGCGUUGUAAGUGUCGGGUGAAAUCCCACGGCUCACCCGUGGAACUGCCCGGCAUACUGCGAUGCUAGAGUGUGGUAGGGGAGAGCGGAACUCCUGGUGGAGCGGUGAAAUGUGUAGAGAUCGGGAGGAACACCGGUGGCGAAGGCGGGUCUCUGGGCAAUUCCUGACGCUGAGGCGCGAAAGCGUGGGGAGCAAACAGG
rnacentral:rRNA from 1 species